rnacentral:rRNA from 1 species
UACGAAGGGGGCUAGCGUUGCUCGGAAUCACUGGGCGUAAAGGGUGCGUAGGCGGGUCUUUAAGUCAGGGGUGAAAUCCUGGAGCUCAACUCCAGAACUGCCUUUGAUACUGAGGAUCUUGAGUUCGGGAGAGGUGAGUGGAACUGCGGGUGUAGAGGUGAAAUUCGUAGAUAUUCGCAAGAACACCAGUGGCGAAGGCGGCUCACUGGCCCGAUACUGACGCUGAGGCACGAAAGCUAGGGUAGCGAACGGG